AAAUCUGCUUGGCAGGGGUGAUACCAUGAUCAAGUAGGUGGUUUUCCCAGGGUGAGGUCCACCCAUUGCAUCUGCUGUGUGCUGUCCCCUGCGAUUUCCCCAAAUGCAGGGAAACUCGACUGCAUAAUUUGUGGUAUGGGGGACUGCAUUCAUGAUCUCUCCUU